rnacentral:rRNA from 1 species
GAUGAACGCUAGCGGGAGGCCUAACACAUGCAAGCCGAGCGGUAUUUCUUCUUCGGGAGAGAGAGAGCGGCGUACGGGUGCGGAACACGUGUGCAACCUGCCUUUAUCUAGAGGAUAGCCUUUCGAAAGGAAGAUUAAUACUCUAUAAUAUAUUAAUUGGCAUCAAUUGAUAUCGAAAACUCCGGUGGAUAGAGAUGGGCACGCGCAAGAUUAGCUAGUUGGUGAGGUAACGGCUCACCAAGGCAAUGAUCUUUAGGGGGCCUGAGAGGGUGAUCCCCCACACUGGUACUGAGACACGGACCAGACUCCUACGGGAGGCAGCAGUGAGGAAUAUUGGUCAAUGGGUGCAAGCCUGAACCAGCCAUCCCGCGUGAAGGAUUAAGGUCCUAUGGAUUGUAAACUUCUUUUGUAUAGGGAUGAACCUACCCUCGUGGGGGUAGCUGAAGGUACUAUACGAAUAAGCACCGGCUAACUCCGUGCCAGCCGCCGCAGUAAUAC